rnacentral:rRNA from 1 species
CCUACGGGGGGCGGCAGUGGGGAAUACUGCGCAAUGGGGGAAACCCUGACGCAGCGACGCCGCGUGGAUGAUGAAGGCCCUUGGGUUGUAAAAUCCUGUUCUGGGGGAAGAAAGCUUAAAGGUCCAAUAAACCCUUAAGUCUGACGGUACCCCAAGAGAAAGCUCCGGCUAAUUAUGUGCCAGCAGCCGCGGUAAUACAUAAGGAGCAAGCGUUAUCCGGAAUUAUUGGGCGUAAAGAGCUCGUAGGCGGUCUUAAAAGUCAGGUGUGAAAUUAUCAGGCUCAACCUGAUAAGGUCAUCUGAAACUUUAAGACUUGAGGAUAGAAGAGGAAAGUGGAAUUCUCGGUGUAGCGGUGAAAUGCGUAGAUAUCGGGAGGAACACCAGUGGCGAAGGCGGCUUUCUGGUCUAUUUCUGACGCUGAGGAGCGAAAGCUAGGGGAGCAAACGGGAUUAGAUACCCCGGUAGUCCUAGCUGUAAACGAUGGAUACUAGGUGUGGGAGGUAUCGACCCCUUCUGUGCCGCAGCUAACGCAUUAAGUAUCCCGCCUGGGGAGUACGGUCGCAAGGCUGAAACUUAAAGGAAUUGACGG